rnacentral:rRNA from 1 species
GGUUAAGCGACUAAGCGUACACGGUGGAUGCCCUGGCAGUCAGAGGCGAUGAAGGACGUGCUAAUCUGCGAUAAGCGUCGGUAAGGUGAUAUGAACCGUUAUAACCGGCGAUUUCCGAAUGGGGAAACCCAGUGUGUUUCGACACACUAUCAUUAACUGAAUCCAUAGGUUAAUGAGGCGAACCGGGGGAACUGAAACAUCUAAGUACCCCGAGGAAAAGAAAUCAACCGAGAUUCCCCCAGUAGCGGCGAGCGAACGGGGAGGAGCCCAGAGCCUGAAUCAGUGUGUGUGUUAGUGGAAGCGUCUGGAAAGGCGCGCGAUACAGGGUGACAGCCCCGUACACAAAAAUGCACAUACUGUGAGCUCGAUGAGUAGGGCGGGACACGUGGUAUCCUGUCUGAAUAUGGGGGGACCAUCCUCCAAGGCUAAAUACUCCUGACUGACCGAUAGUGAACCAGUACCGUGAGGGAAAGGCGAAAAGAACCCCGGCGAGGGGAGUGAAAAAGAACCUGAAACCGUGUACGUACAAGCAGUGGGAGCCUCUUUUAUGGGGUGACUGCGUACCUUUUGUAUAAUGGGUCAGCGACUUAUAUUCUGUAGCAAGGUUAACCGAAUAGGGGAGCCGAAGGGAAACCGAGUCUUAACUGGGCGUUAAGUUGCAGGGUAUAGACCCGAAACCCGGUGAUCUAGCCAUGGGCAGGUUGAAGGUUGGGUAACACUAACUGGAGGACCGAACCGACUAAUGUUGAAAAAUUAGCGGAUGACUUGUGGCUGGGGGUGAAAGGCCAAUCAAACCGGGAGAUAGCUGGUUCUCCCCGAAAGCUAUUUAGGUAGCGCCUCGUGAAUUCAUCUCCGGGGGUAGAGCACUGUUUCGGCAAGGGGGUCAUCCCGACUUACCAACCCGAUGCAAACUGCGAAUACCGGAGAAUGUUAUCACGGGAGACACACGGCGGGUGCUAACGUCCGUCGUGAAGAGGGAAACAACCCAGACCGCCAGCUAAGGUCCCAAAGUCAUGGUUAAGUGGGAAACGAUGUGGGAAGGCCCAGACAGCCAGGAUGUUGGCUUAGAAGCAGCCAUCAUUUAAAGAAAGCGUAAUAGCUCACUGGUCGAGUCGGCCUGCGCGGAAGAUGUAACGGGGCUAAACCAUGCACCGAAGCUGCGGCAGCGACGCUUAUGCGUUGUUGGGUAGGGGAGCGUUCUGUAAGCCUGUGAAGGUGUACUGUGAGGUAUGCUGGAGGUAUCAGAAGUGCGAAUGCUGACAUAAGUAACGAUAAAGCGGGUGAAAAGCCCGCUCGCCGGAAGACCAAGGGUUCCUGUCCAACGUUAAUCGGGGCAGGGUGAGUCGACCCCUAAGGCGAGGCCGAAAGGCGUAGUCGAUGGGAAACAGGUUAAUAUUCCUGUACUUGGUGUUACUGCGAAGGGGGGACGGAGAAGGCUAUGUUGGCCGGGCGACGGUUGUCCCGGUUUAAGCGUGUAGGCUGGUUUUCCAGGCAAAUCCGGAAAAUCAAGGCUGAGGCGUGAUGACGAGGCACUACGGUGCUGAAGCAACAAAUGCCCUGCUUCCAGGAAAAGCCUCUAAGCAUCAGGUAACAUCAAAUCGUACCCCAAACCGACACAGGUGGUCAGGUAGAGAAUACCAAGGCGCUUGAGAGAACUCGGGUGAAGGAACUAGGCAAAAUGGUGCCGUAACUUCGGGAGAAGGCACGCUGAUAUGUAGGUGAAGCGACUUGCUCGUGGAGCUGAAAUCAGUCGAAGAUACCAGCUGGCUGCAACUGUUUAUUAAAAACACAGCACUGUGCAAACACGAAAGUGGACGUAUACGGUGUGACGCCUGCCCGGUGCCGGAAGGUUAAUUGAUGGGGUUAGCGGUAACGCGAAGCUCUUGAUCGAAGCCCCGGUAAACGGCGGCCGUAACUAUAACGGUCCUAAGGUAGCGAAAUUCCUUGUCGGGUAAGUUCCGACCUGCACGAAUGGCGUAAUGAUGGCCAGGCUGUCUCCACCCGAGACUCAGUGAAAUUGAACUCGCUGUGAAGAUGCAGUGUACCCGCGGCAAGACGGAAAGACCCCGUGAACCUUUACUAUAGCUUGACACUGAACAUUGAGCCUUGAUGUGUAGGAUAGGUGGGAGGCUUUGAAGUGUGGACGCCAGUCUGCAUGGAGCCGACCUUGAAAUACCACCCUUUAAUGUUUGAUGUUCUAACGUUGGCCCCUGAUCGGGGUUGCGGACAGUGUCUGGUGGGUAGUUUGACUGGGGCGGUCUCCUCCUAAAGAGUAACGGAGGAGCACGAAGGUUGGCUAAUCCUGGUCGGACAUCAGGAGGUUAGUGCAAUGGCAUAAGCCAGCUUGACUGCGAGCGUGACGGCGCGAGCAGGUGCGAAAGCAGGUCAUAGUGAUCCGGUGGUUCUGAAUGGAAGGGCCAUCGCUCAACGGAUAAAAGGUACUCCGGGGAUAACAGGCUGAUACCGCCCAAGAGUUCAUAUCGACGGCGGUGUUUGGCACCUCGAUGUCGGCUCAUCACAUCCUGGGGCUGAAGUAGGUCCCAAGGGUAUGGCUGUUCGCCAUUUAAAGUGGUACGCGAGCUGGGUUUAGAACGUCGUGAGACAGUUCGGUCCCUAUCUGCCGUGGGCGCUGGAGAACUGAGGGGGGCUGCUCCUAGUACGAGAGGACCGGAGUGGACGCAUCACUGGUGUUCGGGUUGUCAUGCCAAUGGCACUGCCCGGUAGCUAAAUGCGGAAGAGAUAAGUGCUGAAAGCAUCUAAGCACGAAACUUGCCCCGA